GCUUCGUGUGUAGGCGCGUCCGGGUGGCGGAGGCCGCAGGCCGCAGGAGUGCUGGCGGAGGGGCUUCCAGAAAGACCCUGCGGCAGCGCCCCCACUCGGCUCUCCCCGCAGGAGCGCGGGCACCUGCGCGGCGCCGGGUGAAGGCGAGCGCCUCGGCGAGCCCUCUGCAGCGGAGCCCCCUGCCCAUUUGGUUUUGGAACCCCCAGGAGGAACUGGGCCAUUCUAACACCCGUUGCUACCAUGCUGGCCACCCGCCUCUCCAGACCCCUGUCACGGCUCCCGGGAAAAACCCUAAGUGCCUGUGAUAGAGAAAAUGGAGCAAGAGCAACGCUGGGGGUCAUGGGAAAACAGUGUGAUGCUCUUUGGAUAGAGUCAUUCACGAGCUUUGGGUGUAGCAACCACACUGUCCUGCUCACUGGAGACCAUCCAUGCACAAGGACUGAAAAUCCAGGCUCCUCUGUGGCAGUACAAAAGGACAGGGGGUUACUUUGGCAGGUUUUCCUAGUGAGCCUUCAUUUCUGUCUAGUGAAUUUAACAUUCUUUAAGAACAUAUUAUAAUAAUUUUUUAAAAACUUAAUAUGUUUAAUAGGUAAUAUAUUUACAUGGUAC
rnacentral:sRNA from 1 species